rnacentral:rRNA from 1 species
UGGGGAAUAUUGGACAAUGGGCGAAAGCCUGAUCCAGCCAUGCCGCGUGCGUGAAGAAGGUCUUCGGAUUGUAAAGCACUUUAAGUUGGGAGGAAGGGCAGUAAGCGAAUACCUUGCUGUUUUGACGUUACCGACAGAAUAAGCACCGGCUAACUCUGUGCCAGCAGCCGCGGUAAUACAGAGGGUGCAAGCGUUAAUCGGAAUUACUGGGGGUAAAGCGCGCGUAGGUGGUUCGUUAAGUUGAAUGUGAAAGCCCCAGGCUCAACCUGGGAACUGCAUCCAAAACUGGCGAGCUAGAGUAGGGCAGAGGGUGGUGGAAUUUCCUGUGUAGCGGUGAAAUGCGUAGAUAUAGGAAGGAACACCAGUGGCGAAGGCGACCACCUGGGCUCAUACUGACACUGAGGUGCGAAAGCGUGGGGAGCAAACAGG